AUGUGGUUAAACUUUGUGUCCUUACUAAUACUCCUGAAAGGAGUCCAGUCUCAAGUCCAGUUGGUGGAGUCUGGAGGGGAUGUGAGAAGACCUGGGGAGUCCCUCCAUCUCUCCUGCCAAGGAUCUGGAUUCACCUUCGGAAGCUACCACAUGAACUGGGUGAGACAGGCUCCAGGGAGAGGCCUGGAGUGGGUUGCACACGUCUAUACUGAUUCCAGUGGAAAGUUCUACGCAGACAAAGUGAAGGGACGCUUUACCGUCUCCAGGGACAAUGCCAAAAGCCAGCUGUAUCUGCAAAUGAACAGCCUCAAAGCUGAAGACACAGCUGUCUAUUACUGUGCGAGAGACACAGUGAGAGGAAGUGAAUCUGAGGCCAAUCAAGAACUUCUCACAGAGCAGCUCAAUCACGGAUGGUUGAAUUGGAAUGAGAAGAAGUGA